AAUCAAGUCUCAAGGAAUGAGAUGGAAGCGUUGUUCAGGCUCUAUGAGAAGGUGAACUGCUCUAUCAAUGACGAUGAACUCAUCCAAUUGCACUGUAUUGGGAACAGUUUUACCAUCCGAGGAUACAUCCAAAGUACAGGUGAAUUAGACAUUUCCCUGUGCGAGAUCAAAUGACUUGAGCUUUACAUUGGUUCAACUGUCCCUGUCAUCAAAUAUUAUGUUUGCAAGAUGAACAAGACCUUUGUCACUCUUGGACUGAGGAUGUACUUCUGUCGCUUCACAAAAAAUGCAUCUAAAGCACCAUCUCAAUGACCGGUCGAGGACGUGAUGGUUAGUCUCAGCACCGGAGAUGUUAUGAGACAGGUCUGGAUGAUGAUGGUUACGGACAAGAGACAAACGAUAACAACAAUUGGUCAGACUUUGUCAAAGAGGCAGGGACUAGAGAGUAUUAGAUAUGUGUCUUUGCCUUCAAAAUUGAAAAUGGGAAACCAUUGCUCACCGUCCAUAAGCUUUGAAAGGCUAAGGUACAAAAUCGCAUGUGCAAUGUCUACACACAAAUCGUUCUAUGAAAUGUAUCUAACAGAUUGCCUGCAUCAGGUUAAUGUGCCCUGUGAAGUUUUUUUUUUUUGAGGGAUAAUGUGCCCUGUGAAGUUGAUCGAGAAGGCAACCGUGUGGUCUCAAGAACCUUGUGGUCAAGUGGUUACCGUAAAUACUCUCUCAUGUUCACGU